rnacentral:rRNA from 1 species
AGCGAACGCUGGCGGCAGGCCUAACACAUGCAAGUCGAACGAACCCUUCGGGGUUAGUGGCGGACGGGUGAGUAACACGUGGGAACGUGCCUUUAGGUUCGGAAUAACUCAGGGAAACUUGUGCUAAUACCGAAUGUGCCCUUCGGGGGAAAGAUUUAUCGCCUUUAGAGCGGCCCGCGUCUGAUUAGCUAGUUGGCGAGGUAAUGGCUCACCAAGGCUACGAUCAGUAGCUGGUCUGAGAGGAUGACCAGCCACAUUGGGACUGAGACACGGCCCAAACUCCUACGGGAGGCAGCAGUGGGGAAUCUUGCGCAAUGGGCGAAAGCCUGACGCAGCCAUGCCGCGUGGAUGAUGAAGGUCUUAGGAUUGUAAAAUCCUUUCACCGGUGAAGAUAAUGACUGUAGCCGGAGAAGAAGCCCCGGCUAACUUCGUGCCAGCCGCCGCAGUAAGAC